rnacentral:rRNA from 1 species
UUGAUUAUGACGUACUUGUACUGAUUGAGAUUUUAACACGAAGUGAGUGGCGAACGGGUGAGUAACACGUGGGUAACCUGCCCAGAAGUAGGGGAUAACACCUGGAAACAGAUGCUAAUACCGUAUAACAGAGAAAACCGCAUGGUUUUCUUUUAAAAGAUGGCUCUGCUAUCACUUCUGGAUGGACCCGCGGCGUAUUAGCUAGUUGGUGAGGUAAAGGCUCACCAAGGCAGUGAUACGUAGCCGACCUGAGAGGGUAAUCGGCCACAUUGGGACUGAGACACGGCCCAGACUCCUACGGGAGGCAGCAGUAGGGAAUCUUCCACAAUGGACGCAAGUCUGAUGGAGCAACGCCGCGUGAGUGAAGAAGGGUUUCGGCUCGUAAAGCUCUGUUGUUAAAGAAGAACGUGGGUAAGAGUAACUGUUUACCCAGUGACGGUAUUUAACCAGAAAGCCACGGCUAACUACGUGCCAGCAGCCGCGGUAAUACGUAGGUGGCAAGCGUUAUCCGGAUUUAUUGGGCGUAAAGCGAGCGCAGGCGGUCUUUUAAGUCUAAUGUGAAAGCCUUCGGCUCAACCGAAGAAGUGCAUUGGAAACUGGGAGACUUGAGUGCAGAAGAGGACAGUGGAACUCCAUGUGUAGCGGUGAAAUGCGUAGAUAUAUGGAAGAACACCAGUGGCGAAGGCGGCUGUCUGGUCUGCAACUGACGCUGAGGCUCGAAAGCAUGGGUAGCGAACAGGAUUAGAUACCCUGGUAGUCCAUGCCGUAAACGAUGAUUACUAAGUGUUGGAGGGUUUCCGCCCUUCAGUGCUGCAGCUAACGCAUUAAGUAAUCCGCCUGGGGAGUACGACCGCAAGGUUGAAACUCAAAAGAAUUGACGGGGGCCCGCACAAGCGGUGGAGCAUGUGGUUUAAUUCGAAGCUACGCGAAGAACCUUACCAGGUCUUGACAUCUUCUGACAGUCUAAGAGAUUAGAGGUUCCCUUCGGGGACAGAAUGACAGGUGGUGCAUGGUUGUCGUCAGCUCGUGUCGUGAGAUGUUGGGUUAAGUCCCGCAACGAGCGCAACCCUUAUUACUAGUUGCCAGCAUUAAGUUGGGCACUCUAGUGAGACUGCCGGUGACAAACCGGAGGAAGGUGGGGACGACGUCAAAUCAUCAUGCCCCUUAUGACCUGGGCUACACACGUGCUACAAUGGAUGGUACAACGAGUCGCGAGACCGCGAGGUUAAGCUAAUCUCUUAAAACCAUUCUCAGUUCGGACUGUAGGCUGCAACUCGCCUACACGAAGUCGGAAUCGCUAGUAAUCGCGGAUCAGCAUGCCGCGGUGAAUACGUUCCCGGGCCUUGUACACACCGCCCGUCACACCAUGAGAGUUUGUAACACC